AUCGCUUCUCGGCCUUUUGGCUAAGAUCAAGUAGUCCCAUAAGACAGUUGUACAGCUGUACUGCAUAGCAGGUUGAACAUACUGCUAUCAUUGUAUUUUUGAUGCAUAUCUUGUCAAAUGAUAAAAUGUUCUGUGUAGCUUCCAGACUCCUAAAUUAGAUCAUAAAUCCA
ensembl:snRNA U2 U2 spliceosomal RNA